GUGUGUUUAGUUCGCGAAAGAAAUUAUUAAACGUGGGAACUAAACAAGAUUAACUGUUCGGCCAUAUGCUCACUUCGAUAUUAAAUUUAUUAUUUGUGGGGGAGGGCUCAUCACAGUGGCAAGCCCAUGCCACUGGGGCCCUCGCGCGUCGCCCAGGCGUUGCACUGCUGCCCGGGCCUGGCGCACCCAAC
rnacentral:snRNA from 1 species